CCUGUCUGCCACCGACUGAAGGAGAAAAAGCAACUGAAGCUAUUCUGCCAUUAUGAUUGCAGAAUAUGCUGAAUUUCCUGGGCACAGGAUUGGGGGAAAUACAGUGGCACUCCCCUACACGUCAGAAGGAGUGAGUAAACAAAAAAGCCAUGGGCCAUAUUCAGCCCAUCACCUAUUUCCGGAUGGCUCAUGAGCAAAGAAUGAAUUUU